rnacentral:lncRNA from 1 species
AAAAAAUCAAAUAAGUAGUCUUAUUUAAGUAUUUAAUUUUGCUUACAAUUAUUAGUGGCGAGUCAACUAAACAGAUAUAUUUCCUCUACUUUCAUUUGUUCAGAUUUGCCCAUGGUAAAAUUUCCAUUUAUAGUUACCGCUAAAACCCCAAAAUUCUGUUCUCAUAUUGCAUUUCCCCCAAAAUCAAAUUCUGUAAAUUGUACUUUAUUCAUCACAAAUCGUUCCCGCAGAUCGUUCAAAUUUCUGGCCGACGAUCCGAUUGAAAGGCUGCGAUUUGUUGCUGUUGGUUAACCCAACUGCAGUUCGGGUAUUUGCGUACGCAUCAAACGAGGCGCUCACCUUCGCAUGUGUUCGGUAUGCAACUUCUUUUAUGCAUUUCUGUUUCUGGCUGCUGUUGCUGUGAUGGCGGAUUCUAUCCGUUUCCUCUAAUGAUUAUGUCAUGGUCCUGAAAUUAAGCUCCAAUGCCUGUGUGUGUGGUGCGUGUUUUGUUGGAUUGACUUGUUUGAAAUGAGCCGAGGUUUGAGAUGUGUAAGUGUUGUUGCUGUUGUUCGAUCAGAAAUCAGAAAUUAACAGAGAUGAAGUGAGCGGAAAUAAGAGCUGUUGAUUAUAUAUGCUGUUAGUAUUUGUUUAGUGUGCAAGACAUGUAAUUUGUAGUGCAUCUUCUCAGCAUUGUUUGACAUGUGUUGAAUUUGAACACUAGGUCAUCUUAUGUUCUGAUCUGCCG